rnacentral:snRNA from 1 species
GGCGUAUUUCUAUUAGUUGUAGGGCCUUGUUUGAAGACCCGUUGAACAGUUUUUGGAGUCCCUCCUUGUUCUUUAGGAGGGAG